AUUGAACGCUGGCGGCAUGCCUUACACAUGCAAGUCGAACGGCAGCACGGGUGCUUGCACCUGGUGGCGAGUGGCGAACGGGUGAGUAAUACAUCGGAACGUACCUUAUCGUGGGGGAUAACGCAGCGAAAGCUGUGCUAAUACCGCAUACGCCCUGAGGGGGAAAGCGGGGGAUCGCAAGACCUCGCGCGAUUAGAGCGGCCGAUGCCUGAUUAGCUUGUUGGUGGGGUAAAAGCCCACCAAGGCGACGAUCAGUAGCUGGUCUGAGCGGACGAUCAGCCACACUGGGACUGAGACACGGCCCAGACUCCUACGGGAGGCAGCAGUGGGGAAUUUUGGACAAUGGGGGCAACCCUGAUCCAGCAAUGCCGCGUGAGUGAAGAAGGCCUUCGGGUUGUAAAGCUCUUUUGUCAGGGAAGAAACACCGGCUCUAACACAGUCCGGGAAUGACGGUACCUGAAGAAUAAGCACCGGCUAACUACGUGCCAGCCGCCGCUGUAA
rnacentral:rRNA from 1 species